UCCUUCCAUUUCUAUUUUUUGGAAUAGCUUCAGAAGAAUAGGUAUUAAUUCUUCUUUAAAUGUUAGGUAGAAUUCCCCUGCAAAGCCAUCUGGCUCUGCAUUCUUAUUUUUCU